rnacentral:rRNA from 1 species
GAUGAACGCUGGCGGCAUGCCUAACACAUGCAAGUCGAUCGGUAAGGCUCUUCGGAGUCCCCGAGAGGCGGACGGCUGAGUAACGCGUAGGAACACACCCUGCAGUGAGGGAUAAGACACCGAAAGGUGUUCUAAUACCGCAUACGGUCUUCGGAUUAAAGCAUUUAUGCGCUGAAGGAGUGGCCUGCGUCAUAUUAGAUAGUUGGUGAGGUAAUGGCUCACCAAGUCGAUGAUGUGUAGCUGGUCUGAGAGGAUGAUCAGCCAGACUGGAACUGAGACACGGUCCAGACUCCUACGGGAGGCAGCAGUGAGGAAUAUUUCACAAUGAGCGAAAGCUUGAUGGAGCAAUGCCGCGUGCAGGAUGAAGGCCCUCGGGUUGUAAACUGCUUUUAUAAGAGAAGAUUAUGACGGUAACUGAUGAAUAAGGGACGGCUAACUACGUG